rnacentral:lncRNA from 1 species
CCAGGAUGGAGGUGAAGGGCGGGACCCGGAGCGCAGAUGCACCCACUGGGCACUGGGCACGCGGACAGGGGCCCAGGAACGUGGUGUCGGAUGCAAGGAGGACUGCACAGGUGGCCACCUAGCCAGCCACCCCAAACUCUGUCAUAACCCAGCGUGAUGCCCACGCCCUCAAUCCCAGCACUUGGGAGGCUGAGGAAGGAGGAUCUCAAGUUCACACCCAGGCUGAACAAUUUAACAAGCAAUUUAAGACCCUGUCUAAAAAAGAAUUCAAGUGCUAGGUAGUGUAGCUCAGGGUCCAGGCGGGCCCUUCGGUCCUCCAGACCUUCAAAAACAACAAACACCAAAACACUUUCUUGGGGGUUCCACUUGAGCGUCUGUGGUCCCCACUCCUGCUAGUUCUGACUGGCAGUGUGGCCCGUUCGUUCUGGGUAGGCUGAUCCCGCGUCAGUCCUCCACACCUCAGCCUCUGUCCAGCAUCCCGCAGCCGCUGCCGUGAUCAGAUGGGGCAGAGCUCUUUGGUCCAACAUGCCACCACCUGACUCCUCGCCGGCCCCGGCAGCUUCCGUGUGUGGACGCUGUCCUGUCCCACCACUCCGCUGAGCCGAGGAGAGAGCGCUCCAGCCGUCACUGCGUGUAGAGUUUGGCCCCGACUGCAUCGUGGUGAAAUGUCUCCGUUUAAAAAUACUAAGCGAGCUGGACAUGCAAGCACAUGCUUGCCAUGCGAACUACCUCGGAGGCUGAGGCAGAAGAGUUCAACCCCAGCGGCGUGACUGAGUGAGACACUGUCUCAAAAACAGUUUUUUAAAGGGCCGGGGAUGUACGUCAGUGGUGAGCAUGGGGAUCUGGACGGGACGCUCUGGUACUGGAAAAGAUGGGCUCACUGUGUAGCCCAGGCUGGCCUCGAACUCAAGGCGAUCCUCCUGCCUCAGCUAACUGGUUGCUUGCUUUCCUGUGUGUGAAUUUGUCAUCAGGAGCAGUGCCCGUCCUCCCUUUAAUGCCCCCCCCCCGCCGCACCCCUGGGAACCGAACCAGCC